UAGAGUUUGAUCAUGGCUCAGGACUAACGCUGGCGGCGUGCCUAAUGCAUGCAAGUCGAACGGUCUUCAGGCCGCAAGGCCAAAAAGACAGUGGCGAACGGCUGAGUAACACGUAAGUAACCUACCCUUAGGUGGGGAAUAACCCCGAGAAAUCGGGGCUAAUACCGCAUAGUACAACUCUUCGCAAGGAGGGCUGUCAAAGCCGCAAGGCGCCAAAGGAGGGACUUGCGUCCUAUCAGGUUGUUGGUGCGGUAACGGCUCACCAAGCCGAUGACGGGUAGCUGGUCUGAGAGGACGACCAGCCAGAAGGGGACUGCGGCACGGCCCCUACUCCUACGGGAGGCAGCAGCAGGGAAUAUUGCGCAAUGGACGAAAGUCUGACGCAGCGACGCCGCGUGAGGGAUGAAGGCCUUCGGGUCGUAAACCUCUUUUUCUGGGGAAGAGUAAGGACGGUACCCAGAGAAUAAGCCACGGCUAACUACGUGCCAGCCGCCGCGGUAAUUCAAU
rnacentral:rRNA from 1 species